CAGAAUUUUAAGAUAUUUUUAGUAGUUAAUAUUGAUAAAUUGUAUAUUUUUAAGAAAAAUUAAUUGAAAAUAUUUGAAUUAAUUAAAUACUAUUGGUUGAUAGUUAUUGAAAAAUGUAUAGUGAAAUAAACAAUUAGUUUAAUUGUAAACAUUUAUUAUAUUAUUAAUAUACGUGCCUACUCUAUAAAAUCUUUUUUUUCAGGAAUACUUUGUAAUUCGUGGAUUUUUAAUUAAUCUUUUUUUUUUAUUUUUUAAUUCAUUCACUUUUAUGUAAUACUUAGAGCAGGUCUACCACGGGUUUUAAUGAUGAUUCUAACCCAAUAAAGGAAAAAAUAAAUGAAAAAUGGAAAAAAGAGACAGAACUGAUCCUUUAUGUGAAGGCUGUAGAAGCGGUAAAAACCCCAUACAUGGCGGGUUCAGAUUGGCUUGAGGAAAGGUGUGCUCUUCUCUUCUCUUUCGUAUUCGGUUUCUUUCUCUCUUCUUCGAUAUCGCCGAUAUAUCUUCUCAUUUCUCUCUUCGUCGAUGUCUCAUCGCCGCUCGAUCUUCGCCACCGGCUCGUCGCCGGUCGAUCUUCGCCGCUCUCUCUGCGCCGCUCUCUCUGCGCCGCUCUCUCUUUGUCGAUCUCUCUUCCUCGAUCUCUCUUCGUCGAUCUCUCUUCGUCGAUCUCUCUUCGUCGCUUUCUCUCUUCGUCAUCGUCUUCGUCCAUGAUUCCAUCUCUCUCUGGUUCGAUUCGGUCGCAAUCCAAUAGUCGGUUGGUGACUCUCUUCGUCUCCGUCCCUGUCGAAAUCUCCAAGGGAGAUGAUGAUUGAUCCGUUUCUCUCUUCGUCGGUCUUCUCCUCCAAAGGCGUCCAUCCAAUCACCGUGAAGGUUAUGUUUCUUCAAAUUAUUUGUUCCCGUGAAUUUAAUUCCUUCAUUUAGAAUCAAAUAUUUUGUUUCGAUUAUGAGUUUUGACUCUGUUUUUCUUCUCUAUUUGUCUCUCUUAUUACAUGGAGAGAGGAAGAACAAAGGAGAUAUGUCCCUGAUAAAAACUUCCUAAUAGACGUUCUAUCUACAAUCAACUCAACAGACUACAACGUGAAGAAAGAUGUAAAAGCAUAUGGCAAAGUUGAGAAAGAAGAUGGAUUUUGCUCAGUCCCGGCUUGAAAAAUUCACAAGAUUCAUUGAAUACCAUCAGGCGUUAAAGAGAGUAGAUAUACUGAAGAAGCAGUAGAAAAGGUAUCAAACAGCAUCAAAGCGGAUCAAACAUCUACAAAGCUUUUAAUGCGUGUGGAAGACAUGGGACAGAAGAGUAAUGUUGUGUUUUGUACUCGUGACAGAAGAAGACAAUAUGUCUGAUGUAAUAAAAGUUGUUGUGUUUUGUAUCCCGUGAACUAACAACUUGUGUGAUAUGUUUCACGUCUGUUUUUAAGUUGUACCGAACCUUGUUGUACCGAACCGUGAAGAGUAGUGUUGUGUUGCAACUUGUCUUUAUAAACUUAUGAGAAACAAAUCAAACUUGUGAGAAACAACUUGUCUUUACAACUUCAGAUUUUCUAGUUCAUGUUUCAUCUCCUUUAUUAUCUUUCUACUUCUAAACGACCAAAGAGAAAACAACCACAAAACAAAACAAAACAAUUUGUUCUUCACAUUGUUUCUUCUCCUUAUUGUUUCUUAUCUUUAUUGUUUCUUCACAUUUCUUCACAUGUGAGCAAAACAAAAUAAUUGUCUUUAAGAAACAAUUUGGUCUUCACAUUUCUUCACUUAUCUUUUUUAAAUGGCAUCUUCUUCUUCUAAUAAUUUCGACGAAAUGGAUGAAAGAUUUGAUCAAAUUUUCGAUCAGCAAUUCGAAAAUCUCCUCAUUCAUCAUGAAAAUCGCCAAGAAGCACCAAGGUCAAAAAAGAAACGAGCCUACAUUGAAAGACAACGAGAACAAGGACACAUGCAGUUAUGGAACGAUUAUUUUAGUGAAGAUGCAACAUAUCCUUCUCACAUGUUUUGACGCCGUUUUCGAAUGAACAAACCCUUGUUCAUUCGUAUUGUUGAUCGACUCUCCGCUGAAAUCUCAUACUUUCAACAAAGAAGAGAUGCUACGGGAAGGUUCGGUCACUCCGCGUUACAAAAGGCAACAACAACAAUUUGUAUGAUGGCAUAUGGUUGCCCAGCUGACGCGGUCGACGAAUACCUCCGACUUGGUGAGACCACCGCGCUGUUAUGCUUGGAACAUUUUGUUCAAGGAAUCAUAAAUUUAUUUGGAGAUGCGUAUCUAAGAAGACCCACGCCCGAAGAUCUUCAACGACUACUCGAUAUUGGAGAUAUACGCGGAUUUCCCGGGAUGAUAGGAAGCAUUGAUUGUAUGCAUUGGAAGUGGAAGAAUUGUCAGACCGCAUGGAAAGGUCAAUAUACACGUGGAUCAGGAAAGCCAACAAUCGUUUUAGAGGUUGUAGCUUCACAAGACCUCUGGAUAUGUCACGCAUUUUUCGGACCUCCAGGUACAUUAAACGAUAUCAAUGUUCUUGAUCGAUCACCGGUUUUUGAUGGUAUAUUACAAGGUCGAGCUCCAAAAGUUAAUUACAUUGUCAAUGGACACGAGUACCAUUUGGCUUACUAUCUCACAGAUGGUAUUUAUCCAAAAUGGGCUACUUUUGUCCAAUCUAUUCCACUUCCGCAAGGUCCGAAAGCAUCCUUAUUCGCUACACAUCAAGAAGUUGUACGUAAAGAUGUCGAGCGUGCUUUUGGGGUCUUGCAAGCUCGAUUUGCCAUAGUCAAAAAUUCCGCUCUUUUGUGAGAUAAAAUAAAAAUUGGAAAGAUAAUGAGAGAAUGUAUCAUUUUACAUAAUAUGAUCGUAGAAGACGAACGAGAUGGAUACACUCAGUUUGAUGUAUCAGUUUUCGCACAACCGGACUCAAACCGAAGUUCACAAGU